UACGUAGGGUGCAAGCGUUGUCCGGAAUUACUGGGCGUAAAGGGCGCGUAGGCGGCCAUCUAAGUCAGACGUGAAAUCCCCCGGCUUAACCUGGGAACUGCGUCUGAUACUGGACGGCUUGAGUAUGGGAGAGGGAUGUAGAAUUCCAGGUGUAGCGGUGAAAUGCGUAGAUAUCUGGAGGAAUACCGGUGGCGAAGGCGGCAUCCUGGACCAUUACUGACGCUGAGGCGCGAAAGCCAGGGGAGCAAACGGG
rnacentral:rRNA from 1 species